rnacentral:rRNA from 1 species
GUAGAGGUGAAAUUCGUAGAUAUUAGGAAGAACACCAGUGGCGAAGGCGACUCACUGGACAGGUAUUGACGCUGAGGUGCGAAAGCGUGGGGAGCGAACAGGAUUAGAUACCCUGGUAGUCCACGCCGUAAACGAUGGUCACUAGCUGUUUGGACUUUUGUCUGAGUGGCUAAGCGAAAGUGAUAAGUGACCCACCUGGGGAGUACGAUCGCAAGAUUGAAACUCAAAGGAAUUGACGGGGGCCCGCACAAGCGGUGGAGCAUGUGGUUUAAUUCGAAGCAACGCGCAGAACCUUACCAGCCCUUGACAUACCAAUCGCGGUUAGUGGAGACACUUUCCUUCAGUUCGGCUGGAUUGGAUACAGGUGCUGCAUGGCUGUCGUC